rnacentral:lncRNA from 1 species
UAAUUUCUUCUCGUUCUCCCAAAAGGUAUGGUGGUCACAGUGCUUCCGGCGAUUUUUUUGGCCAGUUGAGACUACGAAAUUACUGAGAACUUUCAGGGGUGAGAAGUAAUAUGUUAUGAAGGAGGUGUGUUAGUUUUUAUUUUGAUGAAUGUCAUCGAAAUGUCAUUUUUUCCGAUGAAAAUCUUGUCGGAAUGGUUUUGAUAUUUUUUGAGAAGAUCUGAUGGUUGUU